UUUUUUGCCGUCUGGUCAUCCUCGUCGGUCUUCUGCUUCUGGGUAUCGACAUCGUUAUCCUCAUCAUCUUCAGCUGCCCGCUUGCCCGUAGCUGACUCAGCUCCCUCAUCUUCAUCUCCAUCCUCUUCCUCACCAUCACCUUCUUCCUCCCCACCUUCUUCCUCUUCUUCAUCUACCUCGUUGUCAGCCUCCGGCUCCCCAUUUUCCUCAUUAGCAUUCCCGUGAGCAGGGGCGUCUCUUCCAUUUUCCGCCUCUUCCACAACUUCCUUCUUCUCCUUUAAGUCCUCGGUGGUGAUUUCGGAGCUGGUGUCUACGGCUGCGUCUGACAUGGUGGGGCACGCCGGUGACGCGAUGCAGGGGAUAAAAAAGAAAGCGACAGUUCAGGGACUCUGGCGAUAAAGCUGCCGGAGUCCGCGGCGGCGGAGGCGGCUGCGGCGAGCAAGGAGGCUGACGACGCACAAUGCAAAGACGGCUUUUCAGAGCAGCCAGUGGGGCAGGACAAUGUUUUUCAUCAAAUGUCCUUAGAUUUGGAGGAGGGCGAUAAAGCUGCCGGAGUCCGCGGCGGCGGAGGCGGCUGCGGCGAGCAAGGAGGCUGACGACGCACAAUGCAAAGACGGCUUUUCAGAGCAGCCAGUGGGGCAGGACAAUGUUUUUCAUCAAAUGUCCUUAGAUUUGGAGGAGGUUUCCCCAGUGUAUCCAGUGGUUGUCUUCCUCUUGAUUAAUAUUAAAGGAGGAGAAAAAGUGUGUAUUGGGGUCAGUGCAGAAAACAAAUCAUCCAAGCACACGAAGUGGAAUUUGCUAAUAGCAUUACUACUCACCCAGUGACUUCGGAGUCACAACCCAGGACACGGUUUUCCGCCCAUUUCUACAGACACAGUGAGAUUCUUCAUUCUUCUCUGUUGGAACAGCCAGGAAAGCGGAAGAGACCUCCAGCUGCACAACGACCUGUCCCCCACACCCAACCACAAGUUUAUGAAGGGAUGCAGAACAGCAUGAAUACUGCAAAAGAUGCUCUGUGCAUCAGGUAAAUGGACUGAGGGACAAUGUCCAUGAGUCCAGAGGCGCUGAGAAGCUGUGCAAAUAUGGUCAGCUCUAUCAGACACUUUGUAGUUUAGGUGUUUGAAACAAGAAAAUUGAAAAACUGACAGGAAUUAGGAUAAGUGUUUAGGAUUUAGCCUUGUGCCAACAGAAGAAAGAGGUGUUUAGUGAAAAACAUGAAACAAUCAGGUGGACAUAAUGUCUGAAUUUAGGAAUACACAGAUAUAGGAGCCUGAAUGAAUAUAACCUUACCACCUUGGGCCUGUCAGGUACCUUUUCUCUUAGUACCAGGUCUGCUCCAAAAUUAGGAUAUAUCAUAUGCAGUUCUGAUUUCCUGGGUUACCUAGGAGACCUGGUAAUGAAUGGUGACUAUCUUCUAUUCUCAUUCACUUCCAGAGAAGUGUCCUUACCCGAAUGCAGGUGGACAAGCAGUUAAACACAGUGGCUUUGAGUGUGAAGGCUUCUCCUCGCACCACAGAAUAAGGAAGGGUGAGUUCUAGGAAGAAAGGCUGGAAGGCUUGAAGAGACACGAUAGGAGAGAGGCCAAACCCUGUGGUUCCAGACAAGCAGAAUGCGCUGGCCUUCCACUCUGUGAUGGUUUCAGGGACCUGGUCACCAGCUCACUUAUACCUAAUGAGCUAGUGAAGGAGCAGAGAAGAGGAGUAUAAGCAAAUCUUUUUUUUUUUUUUUUAACACAAAGCAUGGCUGAUCCUAGAACAUGAUAACUCAGUAACCUAGUGUGGUAAAUGCUAAACUUGAUCUAAGGGUUGGUGCUCCUGGUGAGGUUUAAAGUUUUUUUUCUCCCUACCUCCCUUACUCCCUCCUUCCCUCCCUCCCUUUAUUUCUUCCUCUUUUCUUUCAUUCUUUCCUUCCUUUUGUUCUUUCUUUCAAUCUCCCUCCCCUCCCCUUCCCUUUCCUUUAUUUAAGAGGGCUGGUAGCAUCCUACUUUCUAUUAUCUUAGUUAUCAAUAGACUAAAUUAGAAAAAAAAUUAGCAUUGUUUAAUUAUGAGAUAAAUGAACUAUAAACCUAAAUAUUUACCAGAAAAGAGCAGAGCAGAACUAAAAGGAUCAGGAAUCCAGGAUAACAUCAGUCAUACAGCAGGAUUCAAACCCUCUCCUAAACUAAAUUCCAGGCAACACACAACUUACUCAACUACCACCAAAUCCCAGAUCCAGGUCUCAGGGAAGUACUUCCGGACUAUCUCUUUCACUUGCAAUAUCUGAGGUUCUUCUUCGAUCAUUGGGUACAUUAUUUCUACGGCUCCUGGGGGUACACCUCGCAGACCUGGUCCUGGAAGACAACACACAGGCCUCAGUGUGAACCUCAUUUUUAUCAUCAAUUUCUUAUUGCUGCCUUAUUUCUCAAAUGGAAUAAGGUCAUACGCUCAGGGAAUGUUUAUUAUUGGAACAAUUUAACCUACCAGCUUGUUAUUUUGUUCACUUUCCUAUAAAAAGGCUAAUCCUAUUUUUUCUUCAAAUAGAAUCUAGAGCUAAAUAUAUUUUUCUUUAUAAAUAAAAACAAAUGACCUGUACAUGUACCUCCUGAAUCUAAAAUAAAAGUUGAUU
rnacentral:lncRNA from 1 species